rnacentral:rRNA from 1 species
CCUUUAGUGGGGACAACAUAUGGAAACGUAUGCUAAUACCGAAUAUGCUCUACGGAGUAAAGGUGCCCUCUCCUUGGAAGGUAUCGCUAAAGGAUGAGCCCGCGUUAGAUUAGCUAGUUGGUAAGGUAAAGGCUUACCAAGGCGACGAUCUAUAGCUGGUUUGAGAGGAUGAUCAGCCACACUGGAACUGAGACACGGUCCAGACUCCUACGGGAGGCAGCAGUGGGGAAUAUUGCACAAUGGACGCAAGUCUGAUGCAGCCAUACCGCGUGUGUGAAGAAGGCCCGAGGGUUGUAAAGCACUUUCAAUAGCGAGGAAGAUAGUGUAGUUAAUACCUGCAUUGUUUGACGUUAACUAUAGAAGAAGCACCGGCUAACUCUGUGCCAGCAGCCGCGGUAAUACAGAGGGUGCAAGCGUUAUUCGGAAUUACUGGGCGUAAAGCGCGCGUAGGCGGAUUAUUAAGUCAGUUGUGAAAGCCCUGGGCUCAACCUAGGAACUGCAUCUGAUACUGGUAAUCUAGAGUUUAAGAGAGGGAAGUGGAAUUCCAGGUGUAGCAGUGAAAUGCGUAGAUAUCUGGAGGAACAUCAGUGGCGAAGGCGACUUCCUGGCUUAAAACUGACGCUGAGGUGCGAAAGCGUGGGUAGCGAACGGGAUUAGAUACCCCGGUAGUCCACGCCGUAAACGAUGUCAACUARCUGUUGGCCUUAU